rnacentral:misc_RNA from 1 species
GAUGAAGAACGUAGCGAAAUGCGAUAAGUAAUGUGAAUUGCAGAAUUCAGUGAAUCAUCGAAUCUUUGAACGCACAUUGCGCCCGCGAGUAUUCUCGCGGGCAUGCCUGUCCGAGCGUCAUUUCAACCCUCAGGGCCCGCCUGCUUGCAGGCGCGGCGCUGGUGUUGGGGAUCGGCUACCCUGCCGUCCCCCAAAUACAGUGGCGGUCUCGCUGCAGCCUCCCCUGCGUAGUAGCAACACUCGCAUGCGGAGCGCGGCGCGGCCACGCCGUAAAACCCCCGACUUUCUGAACGUUGACCUCGGAUCAGGUAGGAAUACCCGCUGAACUUAGGCAUAUCAAUAAGCGGAGGA